CCUACGGGGGGCAGCAGUGGGGAAUAUUGCACAAUGGGGGAAACCCUGAUGCAGCGACGCCGCGUGAGUGAAGAAGUAUUUCGGUAUGUAAAGCUCUAUCAGCAGGGAAGAAAAAAGACGGUACCUGACUAAGAAGCCCCGGCUAACUACGUGCCAGCAGCCGCGGUAAUACGUAGGGGGCAAGCGUUAUCCGGAUUUACUGGGUGUAAAGGGAGCGUAGACGGCGCGGCAAGUCUGAAGUGAAAGGCAGGGGCUUAACCCCUGAACUGCUUUGGAAACUGCCAUGCUAGAGUGCUGGAGAGGUA
rnacentral:rRNA from 1 species